CUGCCUUUUUUCGUGUCGAGCUUAAACGAACACCUCUUCGAUUAUCUUCGUGUGAAUUUCUAUACUUUUGACGUGCUAUUGGACUACUGGAACAUGUUUCUUUCUUGCUAAAGGUUUUUUUUUUUCACUUCAGCUUUUUUGCGAGGUGACCCUAGAAAAGAUUAUUUACACCGGUACACGUCGCUCUACCACUAAAUAAACAAAUUAACACAGAUCAAGUAGAACUAUACAUAGCUCGAUUGGAAGACGGUAUUUUAUUUUUGUUCUCGUCGAAGGAAUGAAAUGUAAAAGAACACAUCAAAUUGAACCAAACAAACAAAUUUCUGGCGCAGAGGAUCCAAACUCCUCCCUCUACUUUUCUGCCUCCACAGCAGCACACCACUUGUCACUAGCUAGUGGGCCCUAGCCAGCCACCAUAUGCACAGUCUCACCAUAUUCCAAGUGGACCCACACACACUCUUCUUCUUCUGACCAUUUGUGCUGCUGUCCAAACAUAAACAUGCACACACAGUCUCACCAUAUCAUUGCUCCUUCCACUCAUAUGAGCUCCAGCACA
rnacentral:lncRNA from 1 species